rnacentral:rRNA from 1 species
AACGAACGCUGGCGGCAGGCCUAACACAUGCAAGUCGAACGCUCCAGCAAUGGAGAGUGGCAGACGGGUGAGUAACACGUGGGAACUUUCCCUAUGGUUCGGAAUAGCUCAGGGGAAACUUGGGGUAAUACCGGAUAAGCCCUUCGGGGGAAGGAUUUAUCGCCAUUGGAUGGGCCCGGCGUCGGAUUAGCUAGUUGGUGAGGUAACGGCUCACCAAGGCAACGAUCCGUAGCUGGUCUGAGAGGAUGAUCAGCCACACUGGGACUGAGACACGGCCCAGACUCCUACGGGAGGGCAGCAGUGGGGAAUAUUGCGCAAUGGGCGGAAGCCUGACGCAGCGACGCCGCGUGGGGGAGUNACGGCC